GUGCUCGCUUCGGCAGCACGUACAUUAAAUAGGAACGAUACAGAGAAGAUUAGCCUGGCCUCUGUGCCAGGAUGACAUGCGAAUUUGUGAAGUGUUUCAUAUUUUU
ensembl:snRNA U6 U6 spliceosomal RNA